rnacentral:rRNA from 1 species
ACGUAGGGUGCAAGCGUUAAUCGGAAUUACUGGGCGUAAAGCGCGCGUAGGCGGCUUUGUAAGUUAGAGGUGAUAGCCCGAAGCUCAACUUCGGAAUUGCCUUUAAGACUGCAUCGCUAGAAUCGUGGAGAGGUAAGUGGAAUUCCGAGUGUAGAGGUGAAAUUCGUAGAUAUUCGGAAGAACACCAGUGGCGAAGGCGACUUACUGGACACGUAUUGACGCUGAGGUGCGAAAGCGUGGGGAGCAAACAGGA